rnacentral:lncRNA from 1 species
AGGCAGUUGCUAGACUAUCUCUUUCCGACACCAUCAACCACCACAUACUACAUCGCAUGGGUUUCUUUAAGACCGAUGGCGGUUGGACAAAGGAUGUUGUGGAGAGAGUGGAGGAUAAAGCAGAGGAGGAGGGACCAUCUUCACCUCUUCAUGAUCACAGAGCAUCCCCAGAUAUUCAGUUCAUAUCUGAUCACGAGGCUGGUCCUUCAGAGUCUGUGAGGAGGCAUGCUUCAGUUCCACAGUCAGAGAGUAGGGCACAUCCUUCAGAGUUUAGGCUAGCAGAUGAUCAGAUUGAGAUGAUGUCCCAACGUGUUGCCUCCAUUCUAUCUCAGCAGUUUGCCACUUCAGUCUUUGCACAGAGAUCGACAUCCCAGGAUGACUCAGACUAGACUCUAAUCCCUCAUAUUUUUACUAUUUUUCAGAUGCUUACUGAUCAGUCGGUACGCAUUGAGCAGCUUGAGGGAUGUAUUUUGAGAUUGACAGGUAGAGUAUUAGAUUUACAGGGGCAAGUAUUAGCUUUAGCCCAUCCCCAGCCGCAUGAGGAUAUCACAGAGGUCUCAGACCUAACUGCAGAGGUGGCUAGACUUCGAGGAGUCUUAGAGAGUGGUUUUGACUUCUUGAGGAG